rnacentral:tRNA from 1 species
GGUGGUUCAGUGGUAGAGCACUUGCCUUGCAAGCUUGAGGCCCUGGGUUCGAUUCCUCAGCACCA